rnacentral:rRNA from 1 species
AUGAGGAAGCGGGAGCGGGAGAACCCGUGCGGGAUCUGCGGGCACUACCACAAGUACGAGGAGGGGGAGCCGUGCGGGGUGUGCGGCCACCGCCCGCCGGCGCUGGGGGCCGCGGGGGCGGCGGCGGCGCCGCGGCAGGAGUCGGCCUUCCCCUCGGAGAUACUCAAGGACUUCCUCUUCCUCGGCAGCUACGACAACGCCUCCCGCUCCGAGCUCCUCAAGACCAUCGGCAUCUCCCACAUCCUCAACACUGUACCCUUAUGCCAAAACCUUUACCGGAACUCUUUCACUUAUCACUGCCUUCAAGACGACAAGACUUUGCAGUUUGAUGAUGCAAUCCAAUUCCUAGAACAGUGCGAGAGGGAUAAAGCACGAGUGCUAGUCCAUUGCAUGUCAGGGAAAAGUAGGUCAGCUGCAUUUGUAGUAGCCUUCUUGAUGAAGUCCAGAGGCUGGCGACUUGCACAAUGUUUUCAGUGGGUGAAAGAACGGAGGCCACAAGUGCAACUGGCUGAUGCGGCACAGCAGCAGUUGAUUGAGUAUGAGCAGAAGCUUUUCAGUUGCAAUGUUGCUCCAACGGAUUCAUUCCCUUCUCUUGGAUUCGGUUUUCCGAAGCCGUCUGAUGAUGUCCAGGUGCCUAUCUUUAAUCAGCAGGCUCCAGGGUCCAUCUUUGAGCGGGUCAGCCCGAAUAACAUCCCGAGUAAUUUCACAUUUGGGGCUACCGAAGCUAAGCUCCCGGAUGGCAGUAACUUCGGUGUGGUCAACUUGUCUGGGACUGAUAGCAUGAUGGACAGCUCCUAG